CCUACGGGAGGCAGCAGUGGGGAAUAUUGCACAAUGGGCGCAAGCCUGAUGCAGCCAUGCCGCGCGUAUGAAGAAGGCCUUCGGGUUGUAAAGUACUUUCAGCGGGGAGGAAGGUGUUGUGGUUAAUAACCACAGCAAUUGACGUUACCCGCAGAAGAAGCACCGGCUAACUCCGUGCCAGUAGCCGCGGUAUUACGGAGGGUGCAAGCGUUAAUCGGAAUUACUGGGCGUAAAGCGCACGCUGGCGGUCUGUCAAGUCGGAUAUGAAAUCCCCGGGCUCAACCUGGGAACUGCAUUCGAAACUGGCAGGCUAGAGUCUUGUAGAGGGGGGUAGAAUUCCAGGUGUAGCGGUGAAAUGCGUAGAGACCUGGAGGAAUACCGGUGGCGAAGGCGGCCCCCUGGACAAAGACUGACGCUCAGGUGCGAAAGCGUGGGGAGCAAACAGGAUUAGAUACCCUCGUAGUC
rnacentral:rRNA from 1 species